GCACGUAGUUAGCCGGUGCUUAUUCUUCAGGUACCGUCAUUAGCCCAAGAUAUUAGCUUAGGCCGUUUCUUCCCUGACAAAAGAGCUUUACAACCCGAAGGCCUUCUUCACUCACGCGGCAUGGCUGGAUCAGGGUUGCCCCAUUGUCCAAUAUUCCCCA
rnacentral:rRNA from 1 species